rnacentral:rRNA from 1 species
CAAUAGCGUAUAUUAAAGUUGUUGCAGUUAAAAGCUCGUAGUUGGAUUUCUGGGAGGGUGCCAAUGUCCGUCGUCGUACGUGUUGCAGCGGCGCCCUUCCAUCCUUCUGUUAACGACUUUGGGCAUUCAUUUGCCGGAGUCGGGCUCAGAUAUUUUACCUUGAGAAAAUUAGAGUGUUUCAGGCAGGCUAGGCCGGAAUACAUUAGCAUGGAAUAAUGGAAUAGGACUACGGUCUCUUUGUUGGUUUGAGGGACUGCAGUAAUGAUUAAUAGGGAUAGUUGGGGGCAGUUAGUAUUGCUUUGUCAGAGGUGAAAUUCAUUGAUUAUCGCAAGACUAACUUAUGCGAAAGCAUUUGCCAAGGAUGUUUUCAUUAAUCAAGAACGAAAGUUAGGGGAUCAAAGAUGAUCAGAU